AAUGUAAGCCGCCUUAUCGCUUCAUUUAAUUGAAGAGGAAAGUCCGGGCAGCAUAGGGCAUCGUACUUCCUAACGGGAAGGGCUUCUCUUUGGAGGAGUACAGACAGUGCCACAGAAAACAAACUACCUUGUGCAAACAGGGAAAAGGUGAAAAGGCGAGGUAAGAGCUCACCGCCCCAAUGGUAACUGCGGGGGCACGGUAAACCUUACGAGCUGAAAGAUCAAAUAAGUUGCAUAUGCCUCCGGGCAGUCAGGCGGCCCGUCUGGCUCUUUUAUAGAGAUGUAACGGGUAGAUCGAUAGAUCGUAGCAGCGAUGCUGCGGCUAGAUAAAUGAUAAGGGCCUGAACUUUCAGGAACAGAACCCGGCUUAUAGGCUUAUAUUUUUU
rnacentral:RNase_P_RNA from 1 species